rnacentral:lncRNA from 1 species
UAAAACAGAAUAAGCAAGAUGGCCUAGAUAAUUAUAGACAUGUCAGCCCAACAUCAAUGCUGGAAAAAAUAACAGAACAGCUGUUAUGGAAGUUAAUCAAGAGGGAGCUAAAAGAAUAAAAUAUAGUCAGUGCUGGUUUGCAAAACUAAUUACCUUCCUUUUGGACAAGAUUCCUGUUUUAAAGUCUCACAGGGUGCUCCAGGAAACAUCAGCAGCAUCUCUCAGGGCCAGCGUUCCCGUGCCCCACGGCCAUCCCUGCAGACAGCCAUGAGGCACAGUUCAGCAGCUGUUGGCAGCACAUCUUCCCGGCAUCCUGGGAGGCGACACUGAACAGUGAGGGGGAUUCAGGAGCCUGACACCACCAGACACAAAAGAACACUUAAUUCACAAAGGAAUAUGAACUA